GCCUUUAGCAAAACAAGUAUUAAAGGUCCUGCCUGCCCAGUGAUAAAUUUAAACGGCCGCGGUAUUCUAACCGUGCAAAGGUAGCGUAAUCACUUGUCUUCUAAAUAAAGACCAGUAUGAACGGCUAAAUGAGGACAGGCCUGUCUCUUAAGACUAAUCAGUGAAACUGAUCUCCCAGUACAAAAGCUGGGAUAUACACAUCAGACGAGAAGACCCUGUGGAGCUUUAAACCAAACCAACUACUAACAAGCACAAAAUUGCACCUAGUAAGUUUUGAGUUGGGGCGACUUCGGAACAAAACAAAACUUCCGAGCACAGAACCACAAAUUCUAACCACGGCCAACAAGCCAAAGUUAAAAAUAUCAGACCCAGUACCACUGAUCAACGAACCAAGUUACCCCAGGGAUAACAGCGCAAUCUUCUUUAAGAGUCCCUAUCGACAAGAAGGUUUACGACCUCGAUGUUGGAUCAGGACACCCAAAUGGCGCAGCCGCUAUUAAAGGUUCGUUUGUUCAACGAUUAACAGUCCUACGUGAUCUGAGUUCAG
rnacentral:rRNA from 1 species